UACACAAGGACCUUCCUGGGAACUACUCGUCGAUGCAUCGGGAGCUCGUCCGACGUUUGAUGUCAUGAUUAUCUAAAAUAAUAGAUUUACCGGAAGCCGAACAACUAUUUCACUAACUAAUACGAGCUGGAAUAGGAAAAAACGUAAAUCCGGAACUGAUUUUUAGCUACUCAAAACGACGCCACUUGUCGACUUGUUAUUGUUCAAUAAAACGCAUGCAAACCAAA